GACGAACGCUGGCGGCGUGCCUAAUACAUGCAAGUCGAACGCACUGGGGACGGGUGAGUAACACGUGGGUAACCUCCCAUCAGAGGGGAUAACACUUGGAAACAGGUGCUAAACCGAUACUGGUGGAUCGACCCGCGGUGCAUUAGCUAGUUGGUGAGGUAACGGCUCACCAAGGCCACGAUGCAUAGCCGACCUGAGAGGGUGACCGGCCACACUGGGACUGAGACACGGUCCAGACUCCUACGGGAGGCAGCAGUAGGGAAUCUUGGGCAAUGGGCGAAAGUCUGACGCAGCAAUGCCGCGUGAGUGAAGAAGGUUUUCGGAUCGUAAAGCUCUGUUGUUAGAGAAGCGGUAUCUAACCAGAAAGCAACGGCUAACUACGUGCCAGCAGCCGCGGUAAUUC
rnacentral:rRNA from 1 species